rnacentral:lncRNA from 1 species
GAGAAAUGGAAGCAAGAGUCCUUCCAGGAACAGCGGAGCAAAGGAUCAAGCUGUCAAGGUAAUAUGGCUUGAAAUACCACAGAGUAUUAAGAAGAAGAGAUUCCUGAACAAUAAAUCAGUCCUCUAUAAAAUUAACAUAUGCAAAUAAAUAUUCUAUAGACACUCCAACAAUAGAGAACAGCAGGGAGAGAAAAACCUGAAUUUCAAUGGUGAUAAACUUAUUGACUGGUAUUAGGGCAUGGCGGGUGUGGUGGGCGUAGUGGUAAACUCUAGUCCCAGCACUUAGGAGGCUGAGGCAGGAAAAUAGAGUAUGAAGCCAGCCUGGGCUACAUAGCAAGAGCUUAUUUUACUCAUAUUUUAAGAUUAAAAAUUUAAUUUCUGUGUAUGUCACAUGUAUGCAGGAGUCCCUCGGAGGACAGAAGGGAAUGUUGGAUUCCAUGGGGCUGGGGCUGGAAAGUGAACUGGGGUCCUCUGGAAGGGUAGGGAGUGCUCUUAAGUGCUGAGCUGUCUCAAGCCCCAAGACAGACAGAUAGACAGACAGACAGAUGCCAGUUAGAUGGGUCAUCAGUUAAAAACACU